CGUUAGAGCAUUGAGAGGCUCUUUCCCUAGUACGAGAGGACCGGGAAGGACGCACCUCUGGUGUACCAAUUAUCGUGCCCACGGUAAACGCUGGGUAGCCAAGUGCGGAGCGGAUAACUACUGAAAGCAUCUAAGUAGUAAACCCACUCUAAGAUGAGUGCUCUCUUAUUCCAACUUCCCCAGAGCCUCUGGUAGCACAGCCGAGACAGCGACGGGUUUGCCUGCCCCUAUGAGGAUGGAGCAACAGAAGUUUUGAGAAUUCAAGAGAUGGUCACGGCGAGACGAGUCAUUUAUCAUUACGAUAGGUGUCAAGUGGAAGUGCAGUGAUGUAUGCAGCUGAGGCAUCCUAACAGACCGG
rfam:Helianthus annuus linkage group 1, whole genome shotgun sequence.